rnacentral:ncRNA from 1 species
AAAGGUAGAGGCGCGGGGCUUAAUAGUAGCAUUAACGUCAAUAUUUCAACAUAUUGUUAAUGUGAAAGGAAGUACCGCCGAGGAAUGUAUAGGUUGAAAUAUACAUAUCCGGUCGUACAUUUAACAGAUGUACGAUUGUCAUUCGCCGUUCGGCAAAUGGAGAGCUAUCGG